rnacentral:rRNA from 1 species
GACGAACGCUGGCGGCGUGCUUAACACAUGCAAGUCGAACGGUAAGGCCCUUCGGGGUACACGAGUGGCGAACGGGUGAGUAACACGUGGGUGAUCUGCCCUGCACUUUGGAUAAGCCUGGGAAACUGGGUCUAAUACCGGAUAGGACCGCGCACUGAUGGUGUGUGGUGGAAAGCUUUUGCGGUGUGGGAUGGGCCCGCGGCCUAUCAGCUUGUUGGUGGGGUAAUGGCCUACCAAGGCGACGACGGGUAGCCGGCCUGGGAGGGUGUCCGGCCACACUGGGACUGAGGUACGGCCCAGACUCCUACAGGAGGCAGAAGUGGGGAAUAUUGCACAAUGGGCGCAAGCCUGAUGCAGCGACGCCGCGUGGGGGAUGACGGCCUUCGGGUUGUAAACCUCUUUCAGUAGGGACGAAGCGCAAGUGACGGUACCUACAGAAGAAGCACCGGCCAACUACGUGCCAGCCGCCGCGGUAA